AGCAGAAAGACCAGGAGCGGCAGAUCUACUUCCCGAACCUGCCCGAGUCCCUCACGUCCCUCCUGGUCCUGCUGACCACAGCCAACAACCCGGACGUCAUGGUUCCGGCCUAUUCCAAGAACCGGGCCUACUCCCUCUUCUUCAUCGCCUUCACCGUCAUCGGAAGUCUGUUUCUGAUGAACCUGCUGACCGCCAUCAUCUACAACCAGUUCCGGGGCUACCUGCUGGUGAGUGCGGC